UACGUAGGGGGCUAGCGUUGUCCGGAAUCAUUGGGCGUAAAGCGCGUGUAGGCGGCCCGGUAAGUCCGCUGUGAAAGUCGGGGGGCUCAACCCUCGGAUGCCGGUGGAUACUGUCGGGCUCGAGUACGGAAGAGGCGAGUGGAAUUCCUGGUGUAGCGGUGGAAUGCGCAGAUAUCAGGAGGAACACCAAUGGCGAAGGCAGCUCGUGGGACGGUACUGACGCUGGAGGCGCGAAGACGUGGGGAGCAAACAGG
rnacentral:rRNA from 1 species